rnacentral:lncRNA from 1 species
CGGGACUUAUUGGAAACACUGGUUAUUUCUGUCCAGUAACCUGGAGGCACACAAGGUAACCAUUCGCUUACGGCCAUUUUAUCAGAACUGAGCCAGGUCUGAGAAGAUUCAGUGGUGGUUUCCCUAUCACUCCCUGUUUCACCUUGAGAAAAGCCUCCCGGUUCCAGGAAAAUGAGUCGCCAUGAGCCUUCCUCAGGUAGCCACCUCUAUUUUUUAAUCCUUCCGUACUAAUUCAAAUGAGCCUGGGGGCACAAGAAUUUUAACGUAGGGAGUGGGAUGGUUGGGAACAAAUUGAUGUGUUAAUCUACCAUUUCAAGGUUUAAUACUGGCUGGGGUGUGGAGUUAGCAUUGCCUGAGGUGGGUCAGCUGGGCCCUCCUUCUGCUCAUCCUUCAAAUGGCGACUGAGCAUGACCUUUGCACACACUCCUGAGUGUCUUGUGGUAUGCAGCAUGCAAGACCAUAUAUGGUCUUGUGUGCCAAGAAAAAGGUGUGGCAGACCAUAACCCAUAAAUAAUAAGGUACAUGGCACCCUCUUAUUCCAAGAGAAGAC